rnacentral:rRNA from 1 species
CCUACGGGAGGCUGCAGUAGGGAAUCUUCCACAAUGGGCGAAAGCCUGAUGGAGCAACGCAGCGUGGGUGAAGAAGGUCUUCGGAUCGUAAAACUCUGUUGUUAGAGAAGUAAGUGCGUGAGAGUAACUGUUCACGUUUCGACGGUAUCUAACCAGAAAGCCACGGCUAACUACGUGCCAGCAGCCGCGGUAAUACGUAGGUGGCAAGCGUUAUCCGGAUUUAUUGGGCGUAAAGGGAACGCAGGCGGUCUUUUAAGUCUGAUGUGAAAGCCUUCGGCUUAACCGGAGUAGUGCAUUGGAAACUGGGAGACUUGAGUGCAGACGAGGAGAGUGGAACUCGAUGUGUAGCGGUGAAAUGCGUAGAUAUAUGGAAGAACACCAGUGGCGAAGGCGGCUCUCUGGUCUGUAACUGACGCUGAGGUUCGAAAGCGUGGGUAGCAAACAGGAGUAGAUACCCCAGUAGUC